GGUUCGAUGGCGUAGUUGGUUAUCGCAUCUGUCUAACACACAGAAGGUCCCCGGUUCGAACCCGGGUCGAACCA